GGAAGGACUGUGGUUCAGUGGUAGAGCAUCUCCUUUGCAAGCUGAAGGUCCCAUGUUCAAUCCUUGGUGUUUCCA